rnacentral:rRNA from 1 species
CUCAGGAUGAACGCUAGCGGCAGGCUAACACAUGCAAGUCGAGGGGCAGCGGGAUGUAGCAAUACAUUGCCGGCGACCGGCGGAUGGGUGCGUAACGCGUAUGCAACCUACCUUAUACAGGGGAAUAACCUUUCGAAAGGGAGACUAACACCCCAUGGUAUUGAUUUAAGGCAUCUUAGAUUAAUUAAAUAUUUAUAGGUAUAAGAUGGGCAUGCGUAUGAUUAGCUAGUUGGUAAGGUAACGGCUUACCAAGGCGACGAUCAUUAGGGGUUCUGAGAGGAAGGUCCCCCACACUGGUACUGAGACACGGACCAGACUCCUACGGGAGGCAGCAGUGAGGAAUAUUGGUCAAUGGGCGCAAGCCUGAACCAGCCAUGCCGCGUGCAAGGAAGACGGCCUUAUGGGUUGUAAACUGCUUUUACAUAAGACUAACCGUAUAUUUGCGAAUAUACCUGAAUGUAUUAUGAGAAUAAGGAUCGGCUAACUCCGUGCCAGCCGCAGC